rnacentral:rRNA from 1 species
UACGAAGGGGGGCUAGCGUUGUUCGGAAUUACUGGGCGUAAAGCGCACGUAGGCGGACAUUUAAGUCAGGGGUGAAAUCCCGGAGCUCAACUCCGGAACUGCCUUUGAUACUGGGUGUCUUGAGUGUGGAAGAGGUGAGUGGAAUUCCGAGUGUAGAGGUGAAAUUCGUAGAUAUUCGGAGGAACACCAGUGGCGAAGGCGGCUCACUGGCCCGGUACUGACGCUGAGGUGCGAAAGCGUGGGGAGCAAACAGG